CUAGCUCACACGGUGAGAGGUUUCUUCCAGCACACCCUCUGGCCAUGAUGUACUUACUGUCUCUCCGGAGGCCCCAAGUAUUAGGGCACUCAGUCAUAAGCUGGAACCUUCAAAAGCGUACGCCAAGGAAACCUUUCCUCUUUCCAAGUUAACUGCCUCACAGAUCUGAUUUUAGUGGCAGAGAGUGGACUCAUACAAUCGCCCUACUCCACUUAAAGCCUCAGGAUUUUUACCUAUAAAAUUGAGGAUAUGACUUGCCUAAGGACUUCUGAUGAAGAUCAGUCGUGAUUCUUAGAUGUAAGUACCAAAGGCCACUCCUGGCUCAUAACAAGGAUUGGAUUCCCACUUUCCACCCCAAUUUAUAGUCCUGUUUGCAAAUUUCUGAGGCAGACUGUGUUAAGAUAGUUUCAUUUCCUGAAACCCACAGGACAACAGACUGUGACCAACUGUAACACAGAGCUCGACGUACAGAGCGGAAUGAAGCUCUGUCUAGCAUGCUGGAUGGAGUGGGAGGUCUUACCAGAUUUAGUUAUGAAAAAGAACUUCCUCCUUCAAUAAUUGCUUAACCUCUGCAAAUAGUGUGCUGAGUCCUAGAAUUUAGAAUUCUGUCCAAAUGUGCCUUACCCUGGACCUAUUCUACCAGGUGAAAAUUAACCAAGCUCUUUGAAGGAGACCUUUUACUCCCCACCUUUGUGGUGAAUGGGCACAGUUCUGUGAAGUGGGUAGAAGUAGGAGAGCCACUCCCAGAGCCUCAGUGGUAAGUGAUCAUUGACUUUGAUGGGGCUAAUCCUGUUCUCCCCCCCUGACCUCUUCUAGUUCGUGUAAAUUCAAUGAUCUAUUUGUUAAUGGAAGAGCAUUUUCUCUGCAUUCCACAGAAGGUAUUUAUGAAAAGAACCACAGAGGCCGUCACUUGCCUAACAUGGUCAGACUUUGAACAUCAGUAAAUGAUGCAAUCAGUAUCACAACCACAGUGGGUUGAGAAAUAAAUGACAUGUUGGUGACCUUGUCAGGAUAGAGGGGAGCCUACGCAUUCAUUUGAGAACUGGCAAAGAAAAGUUAAACCAGCGGAUCAUCAAUACAGCAAGUAUUUAUCUUCUGUGUAUUACAUAAUCUUUAUCCCACCAAAGCCAAAUGUGGUAAAAGUGAUAUAAGUGUCCCAGGUCAUUAAUGAAGCAUGAAUAAAUAAUAGUUGGUGGUCAUCGUGUUACAAUCCUGAGUGCAUGGAGACCAUCCUACCAGGAAAAGGUAACCCAAAGGACCUGUGCUUCCUGAUGGCUGGAGGCAGCCACACCUUUGACAAGGUGUCCCGUCUAGGGGGCUGCAGUAGCCUUCAGAGCUAUUUAUCAUUUUAUAGGAAGUUUGGGGACAGGAACGUAUUAGAGACAACUACAGCAAUGUAAUUAGAAAUUUCCCCACACAUCUGUAGGACAAAGGGCCACUUCAUCAACAAAUAAAACUCCAAAGGAAAACAUAUAGGGAACACGUGCAGAUUAACAGAGAAACAAACAACUUCAGUGUCUGCAUGUGAUCAUUCUGCUGAUUGUACAACUAAGUUUAAAAAUUAUAAGACUAUCAAACACCAGCCACAGUGUUAAUAUUUAAAUAAACUUUUAUUGUUUAUAGUGAGUUAAUGAAUUUUUUAUCUUUUCUAGAGUCCUUACCUUGUAGAUAUACACAAUGAAGUAUUUAAGGAUAAACUUGAUUGAUGUUCUGCCCUUGCUUCAAAAUAAUCUCAGAGAUGGAGAAAAUGUUUGCAUGUGUGUUUUUCUGUGCAGAUAAAACAAGAUUAACCUGAGUGGACCAACUCUGAAGCUUGAUUAAUUUAUACCUUUUCUCUUCUCUUGUGCAUUGGUGCUUUCCAUAAUUAAGAAACAGAUAUCUGUUAAUCCCUUUCAGAAACAAUAAGUAAAAGAAUCCUGAGUGCAGUGUCAGCUUCUGUAACUUGGCUUUGGGUUGCCAAAGCCUGUCUUCCACAAACAUCUCACACUCGUUUUUCCACAAACCCCUCCUCCCUCCCAGUUUGUGGCCUGGCUACUCUAUAAGGGAAAUGUCCUUCCUUUACCUGUCUG
rnacentral:lncRNA from 1 species